CUUAAGCAUAUCAAUAAGCGGAGGAAAAGAAACCAACAGGGAUUGCCCUAGUAACGGCGAGUGAAGCGGCAACAGCUCAAAUUUGAAAUCUGGCGCAAGCCCGAGUUGUAAUUUGUAGAGGAUGCUUCUGGGUAGCGACCGAUCUAAGUUCCUUGGAACAGGACGUCAUAGAGGGUGAGAAUCCCGUAUGUGACCGGCCCGCACCCUUUACGUAGCUCCUUCGACGAGUCGAGUUGUUUGGGAAUGCAGCUCUAAAUGGGAGGUAAAUUUCUUCUAAAGCUAAAUACCGGCCAGAGACCGAUAGCGCACAAGUAGAGUGAUCGAAAGAUGAAAAGUACUUUGGAAAGAGAGUUAAAAAGCACGUGAAAUUGUUGAAAGGGAAGCGCCUGCAACCAGACUUCGCGGCAGUGUUCCGCCGGUCUUCUGACCGGUUCAUUCUCUGUCGCGAGGCCAUCAUCGUCUGGGCCCGCCGGAUAAGACCUUAGGAAUGUAGCUCACCUUCGGGGGAGUGUUAUAGCCUAGGGUGAUGCGGCGAGGCUCGGGCGAGGUCCGCGCUUCGGCAAGGAUGAUGGCGUAAUGGUUGUCGGCGGCCCGUCUUGAAACACGGACCAAGGAGUCUAACAUCUAUGCGAGUGUUCGGGUGUCAAACCCCUACGCGUAAUGAAAGUGAACGGAGGUGGGAACCGCAAGGUGCACCAUCGACCGAUCCUGAUGUCCUCGGAUGGAUUUGAGUAAGAGCAUAGCUGUUGGGACCCGAAAGAUGGUGAACUAUGCCUGAAUAGGGUGAAGCCAGAGGAAACUCUGGUGGAGGCUCGCAGCGGUUCUGACGUGCAAAUCGAUCGUCAAAUUUGGGUAUAGGGGCGAAAGACUAAUCGAACCAUCUAGUAGCUGGUUCCUGCCGAAGUUUCCCCUCAGGGAA
rnacentral:rRNA from 1 species